rnacentral:rRNA from 1 species
AACGAACGCUGGCGGCAGGCUUAACACAUGCAAGUCGAACGGGCGUAGCAAUACGUCAGUGGCAGACGGGUGAGUAACACGUGGGAAUAUCCCUUUCAGUUCGGAAUAACUCAGGGAAACUUGAGCUAAUACAGGAUACGUCCUUCGGGAGAAAGAUUUAUCGCUGAGAGAUUAGCCCGCGUCUGAUUAGCUAGUUGGUGAGGUAAGGGCUCACCAAGGCGACGAUCAGUAGCUGGUCUGAGAGGGUGAUCAGCCACACUGGGACUGAGACACGGCCCAGACUCCUACGUGAGGCAGCAGUGGGGAAUAUUGGACAAUGGGGGAAACCCUGAUCCAGCCAUGCCGCGUGAGUGAUGAAGGCCUUAGGGUUGUAAAGCUCUUUUGCCAGGGAAGAUAAUGACUGUACCUGGAGAAUAAGCCCCGGCUAACUUCGUGCCAGCAGCCGCGGUAA